CUCCCACUGACUUUAUUACACUUUUAUAAUUUUCCUGAUAGAGAAAUAGAUAUUAUUACUGUAACCUCGCAUUAUCUAAACGCCGCUGAGACCAUGUCUGGCUCUAUAGAGACAUUUAAUGUGGCUCUCCCUGUGGAUUCAGACACAGAAUUCAUGAACACUGUGUUCCGAGUUUUGAAAGGUCGAUGUAAAGUGAAACCUGCGAAGUAUCUUUAGAUGUAACAUUAUAUAACUGGC